UACGGGGGGGGUAAGCGUUGUUCGGAAUUACUGGGCGUAAAGGGCUCGUAGGCGGCCAACUAAGUCAGACGUGAAAUCCCUCAGCUUAACUGGGGAACUGCGUCUGAUACUGGAUGGCUUGGAUUCGGGAGAGGAAUGCGGAAUUCCAGGUGUAGCGGUGAAAUGCGUAGAUAUCUGGAGGAACACCGGUGGCGAAGGCGGCAUUCUGGACCGAUAUUGACGCUGAGGAGCGAAAGCCAGGAGAGCAAACGGG
rnacentral:rRNA from 1 species